rnacentral:lncRNA from 1 species
UGUCCAUGACAGUAAUUAAUAGGUGAACAACCUCUCCUUGUCCUUAUCUCAACCCAGAAGCCUUUCAUUAAAUUUUUUCUCCCCAGGCUAGCAGAGGAGGGGAAUGAUAGAAUGGCUUUGGUGAGCAGCUGACAUCCAGCCAGGGUCAACCCAGCCUAGAUGGGAAGGAGUUAGAUGGUAUUUUUUAAGGGGGGCCAAGGACAGUAAGUUUCAUUGUUACUGAGCCUCCAUUUAUAUGUCUUAGCAGAGAUUGAAGUGGAAAUGCUUACAUAUAGCAUGCUUGCUACUGCCAUCUCUGACUGAGGUCUCAGAUUCCAGAACUGGAAUGGUAGAGCAGACCCAGAAAAGCCCGUGUCUGCUGGCAUGCAAGUGACUGGACAAGUCAGCCUCUUUGAAGGCAGAGCUGCCUCCAUGAACCAAGCUGGAGCAGGAAUCAGGCCACUCAGCCAGCAGAGCAAGCAUCUCCUUGCUGAGAAGUCCUGGAAGACGCAAUUGGCCAUUGUUCAGCGCCGCAGUUGA